CCGAGCGAGGGCGGAAAGAGGAGCGUGGGUAGGCCGUACCUCGCGAGGUGCGAGCCGGACAACUGCUUGCAAGCAUGCUCCGCUGCACCCGAGCCUGGAAGCUCCCCCGUGAGGGGCUCGGCUCGCACAGUCCUAGCUUCGCGAGGGUGCCUGUCGCACCCAGCAGCAGCGGCGGCCGAGGGGAGGCCGAGCCGAGGCCGCUUCCGCUUUCCUACAGGCUUCUGGACGGGGAGGCAGCCCUCCCGGCCGUCGUUUUUCUGCACGGGAUCUUCGGCUGCAAAACUAACUUCAACUCCAUCGCCAAGGCCUUCGCCCAGCAGACAGGACGUAGGGUGCUGACAGUGGAUGCUCGUAACCAUGGUAACAGCCCCCACAGCCCAGACAUGAGCUACGAGAUCAUGAGCCAGGACCUGCAGGACCUCCUGCCCCGGCUGGGCCUGGUGCCCUGUGUCAUCGUUGGCCACAGCAUGGGAGGGAGGACAGCCAUGCUGCUUGCAUUACAGAGGCCAGAGCUGGUGGAACGUCUGAUUGCUGUAGAUAUCAGCCCAGUGGAAGGCACAGGUUCCUCCCACUUUCCUGCCUAUGCGGCAGCCAUGAGGACCGUCAGCAUCCCAGAUGGGCUGCCCCAAUCCCGUGCCCGAAAACUGGCAGAUGAACAGCUCAGUUCUGUCAUCCAGAACCUAGCCGUACGGCAGUACCUGCUCACCAACCUGGUAGAGGUAGACGGGCGCCUCGCGUGGAGGUUGAACUUGGAUGCCCUGGCCCAGCACCUAGACAAGCUCUUGACUUUCCCACAGAGGCAGGAGUCCUACCUCGGACCAACACUCUUUCUCCUCGGUGGAAACUCCCAAUUCGUGCAUCCCAGCCACCACCCUGAGAUUAUGCGGCUCUUCCCUCGGGCCCAGAUACAGACGGUGCUGAACGCUGGCCACUGGAUCCACGCUGAACGCCCACAGGACUUCAUAGCUGCCAUCCGAGGCUUCCUGGUCUAAGAGUUGCUGGCAAGAAGGGGGCUGGGCGCAGUGGCUCAUGCCUGUAAUUCCAGCACUUUGGGAGGCUGAGGUGGGAGGAUCACUUGACGCCAGGAGUUCGAGACCAGCCUGGCCAACAUGGUGAAACCCCAUCUCUACUAAAAGUACAAAAAUUAGCCUGACGUGGUGAUGCAUGCCUGUAAUCCCAGCUACUCAGGAGGCUGAGGCAGGAGAAUCACUUGAACCCGGGAGGCGGAGGUUGCAGUGAGCCGAGAUCACACCACUGCACUCCAGCCUGGGCAACAGAGCAACACUCCGUCUCAAAAAAGACAAAACAAAGAGGAGGCAGGCUUCCAGUCCCUGCAGCCUGCUCCACAUUUGGGCACAGAAGGACUCAGAUGGGCACUGAGUGGGCACGAGGUUUUACAGGGGUGGUCAGACCUCAGGCUUUAAUGAAUAAAGACAUUACUCCC